AGUGCUGUCCACCAGCUGGGCCUGCAGUUAAGGGGUGACUCCGUUUUUAAGCUACUGGGUGCUACUUGCUGUGUCCAGUGGCAGCCGAGCCGUGGGCCCUGCUGACCAGGAGCCGUGCUGGGCUGGUCUCUGACUCAACCUGCUGUGACUUCGGCGGGUCCUUGCUAGCUUGCAGAGAGCUUUCACACACUUUCCACCUUAACUCCACAGACCUCCGUUUUUUCCUCUGUGAAAUGGGAACACUGAUAGAAUUAGCAGGUAUUUAUUCAGAGCCCACUGUACCAGCACAUGAGUCCCCUGGAUCACAGGCUGCCCUUUGAGCAGGAGUGUGAUUCCCAGCACUCAGGAUCCUCUGUCCCUCCUCCGGGGUGCUUGCCCUGGACCCUCUCCUGUGUCCCUCCUCCAGGGUGUUUGCUCUGGUUCCUCUCUGAGCCCUGCUGCACACCUCACCCCAGGUCCCCCGCCUCAUCUCCCGCUUCCACCCAGCACCACCGGCAGCCUAGUGGGCAAGCUGGUGGUCAACUUGUCUGUUUCCCUGUGCUUCAUCUGGGAGGCUGGCUUCACCUGGCAGAGCCUUCCUGCUGGGGUGGCUGCUGUCCCCUCCAGCCCGGCAUGCACAGGUGCUCAAGAAAACAGUGCCGGGAGGAGGGGAGGAAGGAAAACCAAGAUGGGCUGGCUUGUUGCCCUAAUUCUAAGAUGCUCCCACUGUGUGACUCCCUGUCCCGAAUCCCCAGGCCUCAGGGUCCUCCUGUUAGAUGCCGGGUGGGGUGUGCCCUUGUCCUGGGACUGGGAGGGGCACUGUUCCCCGGGGCAGGAUGCCCACCCUGGGGACGGGAGGUUGAGGGACACAGGACGCUGGAGAAAGCUGCGUGCGUGUCCAGACAGCCACACGCCUGGGUGCUGGGCCUGGGCCCCUGACUGGGCAGGUGCCCUGGGGGUGGAGGGCAGAGGUGGGCACUGCUUCCUUUUGUGGGGAGCAGCUCUCAGACAAACCCAGAGAACAGGUUUCUCCACCCCCGUGGCCGCCCCGGAGGCCUGGAGGCCCAGAAAUGCCCCCUCACUGCACCGACUGGCACUCACGUGCGGUGGCACACACACAGAGUGGGCGUGGGGUGGGGGCAGCCUGGCGAGGGGAGGGAGGCCCCGGGUGCAGAUGGGCAGCACCUCCAGGACCGAGCAGGGGACCCCCGCCAGCCCCUCGAGCAGAGACCUCGUUCGGCCAAGCAGUGGUCCCACAGCAGGAGGCUCGGUAGCUGGGGUCAGGACAAGGGGCCAGAGUGCAGAGCCCAGGUUGGGGGCUUGGGCUUGCCUGCGAGGUCGUGUCAGUGGUUCCAGGGCAUAGGCGAGUGGCUGGGGCCAGUGCGUCCCUGUGCUCGUCAGGGAUGGGACUGUCUUGGCAGAGUUGCGUGUCCGACGAAGCAGAGUCCGCCUGGGGUUCUGGGGCUCUGGCCCGUGGUCAGGGUUUCAAGGGAGCCGGGACAGGAGUCUGCACUUGGGGGGCCGAGGAAGGUAGGGGCAGAGCUAAGAAAUCAAAGCUCAGAGAGACUGUGCCUUGUUCAAAGCAGGCACCCGGUGAUCCCAGGUCUGUCUGGCCCCACAUCUGUACCCCAGUGGUUCUGCCUGUUGCUGGGUGGGGGUGGCUGUCCAUGUAUGCAUGGCCGUCAUCCUGGGCUGAGCCACUUGGGCCCAGGGAAGAGAUGAUCCAGGAGGACUUCCUGGAUGAGGAGGCUUUGCACCGGCAGAAGGAGAGGGAGGGCUCUAUCCAGAGAAGAGGCUGGGGUGAUGGGUCACCCUCCUGGCCUCCCGUGGGGGUCGGGGGAGAAAGGAAAGGAGGGAAAGAAAGGCCAGGCCCCUGCGGCGUGGGGUACCCCGAAGAGUGGGGACUCAUGGGCACCAGGAGGGCCAGACAGGGAGGCCUCCGCAGGGCCACGGGCCGGGCGGGGUGUUGAGAGCAGCACAGAAAACCCGUACGUGCACUCCACUCACUCCAGCCAGGGGAGUGGCCUCCAUCCCGGGAGCAGGGAGGUCAGGCUGUGUCCUGGGGCCAUUUCCUGGGUGGCGCUGGGGGCCGGGCGGCCACUUUCGAGAGACCGUGUGCUGGAGCCUCCUCGGAGACACCCUCCUGUGGCGCCACUGCCUUCGUCCUAGCGGGGACACGGUUGCCGCGUCUGCGCAGCGGUACGAUCCUGGGGGACCCUGGGUAGGUCCGUACCUUUCCUGGGCUUCGGUUUCCGCGUCUGCCGGGUGGGCCCUGGGGGGCUUCAGUGCCGCAUCCAGUUGGUUCUGAAUGCGGGGUUGGCAGAUUUGUCCCAAUUCACAGAGAUCGGUGGCUGCCAAGGGCACCAGCACCCCUCCGCCCCCGCUCCUCUGGCCACCUCACGUCAGUGAACCAGAAAGAGGCGUGUGGGAUAUUUUAGUUAGCGGGGCCGGUGCUCCUGCGGGCAGAGGGGCCCCAGCGCAGCCCACUGUGGCCCAAGUGUGCCAGGGUCCUCCCGCAGGCAGAGGGCAGUGGGAGCCCCGGGCCCGCUGGAGGCCAGUGGGCAGGAGCUGAGGCCUCCAGCGACAGGCUCUGGGUAUUUCUGCCCCUGCGCACACCGUUGUGGCUCAUUUAUCAGACAGGUGUGACCUACCAAAACGUGUCACCAAAGGCCAGGGCCGAGUGGGGACCUGAUGGGGUGCAAGUUGACCGUUGCAUUUGGUAGCUCUGGGCAUGUGGUGGGGGUGCCCACCCUUACAGGUCAGCGCCGCGUCCCUGCCCCACCGUCCCCUGCAACACCGGACUCUUCUCUCCCUGUUCCACAGCCUUCAGAGGCUCCCCAGCACCUGGAGGAGAGAAUUCUAGGUCUGACCUUGGCACUGGAGGCCCCUGCGGAUAUUGUGAGCACCUCGAAGAGUGGGGAUGCGGGAACACAGGUGCCCUGUUUGGUGACCGCUGGCCCCACCCGGGAGGCCGUCUGCAGGCCUCGGGCGCAGAGAGCAGCGGGGACCCCUCCUCACCACGUCUCGACCCCACUCUUGACUGAUAAUGGAUUGCCAUUUGCCCGUCCGGUCCCCCCUUAGCUCACGCCUGUGCCCUCCGCCCAGCGGAAGUGCGGGAGGACCGGACGUGACCCCGUUUCCUCCCAGCUGGAAACUGGCUGCCGCGGGCGUAUUCACGUGGAAAUUGGCAAACACCGCCCAUCAGGGCUUUCACCCCCACCGGGCUGGUUGGUAAAUCUGGACCAGCACAUCCCUGGUUAUUAGCACUUGACAUUUACUACGUUAGAUAUUGAGACUAAUCAUUAAAGACAUUUUGUUGAUGCA